rnacentral:antisense_RNA from 1 species
GGGUGCUUUUGGUGUUCGACCAAAAGCAGUUCGAAAGAUUUGCUGGCGGUAGAAAAUCAAAAACCCCGAAUGAACUGUAAAUUCAAACGAGGUUUUAGAGAUGUACCUAGACAAUACAAAUCUUAGCCUCUAUCUCGAUUUAUUUCAAUGCAAAAUUGAAGGAGG